GUUUGGGGGCGGGGUUGACCUACUUGUCACAGGAGCAGGGAACAGAGCAGAGCACACCUGGUUUCAAUCUACAAUCACCACCACUCCAGAAAAAGCCUGGUUCACCUCCACGCCCCUGCCAGAUGAUUCAGUUACCAAGCCACGCCUGUGUCCUUGCUACCAGCCUCCAGCCUGCAGCCUCCAGUCUCCAGUCCCCAGCCACCGCUGCCCGCUACGCCACCUGGAGUGGUCCGUUUUUUGUUCCCUUUUGCCCCAGGAGGGAGUCCAGUCCGAUUCCCCUCUUCCAACUACUGCUAUUGUCCAGCAGCACCCUCCGUUUGCAAUAAACCUGUGUUUUGAACAGUU